rnacentral:rRNA from 1 species
AAGAUUAAGCCAUGCAUGUCUAAGUAUAAGCAAUUAUACUGCGAAACUGCGAAUGGCUCAUUAUAUAAGUUAUCGUUUAUUUGAUAGCACAUUACUACAUGGAUAACUGUGGUAAUUCUAGAGCUAAUACAUGCUAAAAAUCCCGACUUCGGAAGGGAUGUAUUUAUUAGAUUAAAAGCCAACGCCCUUCGGGGCUUCGUGGUGAUUCAUGAUAACUUUUCGAAUCGCAU